UCUGUAGGGCUGUAGGUGAGCUGGGGCUGGUGCUGGGGCUCUGUAGGGCUGUAGGUGAGCUGGGGCUCUGUAUGGCUGUAGGUGAGCUGGGGCUCUGUAGGGCUGUAGGUGAGCUGGGGCUGGUGCUGGGGCUCUGUAGGGCUGUAGGUGAGCUGGGGCUCUGUAUGGCUGUAGGUGAGCUGGGGCUCUGUAGGGCUGUAGGUGAGCUGGGGCUGGUGCUGGGGCUCUGUAGGGCUGUAGGUGAGCUGGGGCUCUGUAUGGCUGUAGGUGAGCUGGGGCUCUGUAGGGCUGUAGGUCAGCUG